rnacentral:rRNA from 1 species
CCUGCCCAUUGAAUUUUUAAAGGCCGCGGUAUUUUGACUGUGCAAAGGUAGCAUAAUAAUUAGCUUUUUAAUUGAAAGCUUGUAUGAACGGUUGGACAAAGAAAUAACUGUCUUUAAUACACUAUUUGAACUUCACAUUUAAGUGAGAAGGCUUAAAUUAAUUUAAGGGACGAUAAGACCCUAUAAAUCUUUACAUUUUAUUUGUCUUUUUUAUUUAGAUUUAACUAAGUUAAUUAAAACACAAAAUAACAUGUUGUAUUGGGGUGAUAGAGAUAUAGCAGAGAAACUGUCUUUAAUUAUGAUAAAAC